rnacentral:tRNA from 4 species
GCCCCCGUAGCUCAGGGGAUAGAGCGUCGGUUUCCUAAACCGUGCGUCGCAGGUUCGAAUCCUGCCGGGGGCACCA